AAAAUUCACAUCAAAAUAUAUGAUCUGAAUAGCUAUACAAAAUCUGAAAGUAAAAGAGCAUAUGAUAUAAAAGGGAACCCGCACUAUACCUUUGCGCAUGUCCACCUAAAUACAAGGAACCCCAAUAUCAAAAACGCAUGCAUUGGCUGCUUGACAUAUCCCUGGAAGAGGACAUCAAUUGCAACUAGCUAUAACACAGUCAAUGACAGAUGUCUCUUUGAACUGAUAAAAUCAUAAUCAAAUGGAUAUAAUACAGAAGUUUCAAAGAUCUGUUUUGAUGUAGCCUGAAGAUUUUGUAAUGAAUGAUCCAGGAUCCAAAAGUUCUUCGUGAAGUUCAAAGACAGUUGCAAUGUGGUUGCUAAUUUAGUGACACAUUAAGAAAGAAGUUCAAACAAGCAUUGUCAUGGGAAAACAUUAAAAAGGAAGAAGUUGGAGGUGGACAAAAAUCAGAAUGAAUAUACUAGAGGUAAACAUUUAUUUUGUCAAAUUAAUACUUGUGAUUGACCUUCUAUUGUUCCCCUCUCUCUCUCUCUCUCUCUCUCUCUCUCUCUCUCUCUCUCUCUCUCUCUCUCUCUCUCUGAGAGCUUGCAAAUAAAAGAAAAAAUUAUUAACAAUUGUAAACUUUCUUCAUGUUGUAUUUGCAAUAAAUCUCUAAAUGGAUCCUGUUAUUCUUCAACAAUAUUGUUGAAUAAAAAAGCAACUGAGGCAUUUGUAAAUUUAACUUUAACAUAAAAUGAAACUUAAUGUUAAAUUCUUUGGGUUUUCUUCCAGAAACUAUUAAAGCACAGAAAAAUGACAACAAUAUAAAUCUAAAUGUAAUCAUUCAAGGAAUUAAAUUCAUUUUUAAUCUC
rnacentral:sRNA from 1 species